CCUACGGGAGGCAGCAGUAGGGAAUCUUCCACAAUGGGCGAAAGCCUGAUGGAGCAACGCCGCGUGGGUGAAGAAGGUCUUCGGAUCGUAAAACUCUGUUGUUAGAGAAGAAAGUGCGUGAGAGUAACUGCUCACGUUUUGACGGUAUCUAACCAGAAAGCCACGGCUAACUACGUGCCAGCAGCCGCGGUAAUACGUAGGUGGCAAGCGUUAUCCGGAUUUAUUGGGCGUAAAGCGAACGCAGGCGGUCUUUUAAGUCUGAUGUGAAAGCCUUCGGCUUAACCGGGGAAGUGCAUUGGAAACUGGGAGACUUGAGUGCAGAAGAGGAGAGUGGAACUCCAUGUGUAGCGGUGAAAUGCGUAGAUAUAUGGAGGAACACCAGUGGCGAAGGCGGCUCUCUGGUCUGUAACUGACGCUGAGGUUCGAAAGCGUGGGGAGCAAACAGGAUUAGAUACCCGAGUAGUC
rnacentral:rRNA from 1 species